rnacentral:lncRNA from 1 species
AGCUGUCAAUGGAGCAAGCCCGGUCCGAGGCCGAGUCGGUCAUGUUCGGCGCGCUCGACUCACUCUUCGAAAAAACCGGAAUCAAACCGAACCAAAUCGACAUCCUCAUCGUUAACUGCAGCCUGUUCAACCCGACGCCGUCACUGUCCUCCAUGAUCGUCAACCACUACAAGCUCAAAACCGACAUUAAAUCCUACAACCUCGGCGGCAUGGGCUGUAGCGCCGGACUGAUCUCCAUCGACCUAGCCAAGGACCUCCUCAAAGCAAACCCCAACUCCUACGCCGUCGUAGUCAGCACCGAAAACAUAACCUUAAACUGGUACUUCGGAAACGACAAAUCCAUGCUCCUCUGCAACUGUAUUUUCCGAAUGGGCGGGGCCGCGGUUCUCCUAUCAAACAAAA